rnacentral:tRNA from 3 species
GGCGGAGUAGCUUAGUUGGCUAGAGCGUUCGGUUCAUACCCGAAAGGUCGGGGGUUCAAGUCCCUCCUCCGCUACCA